rnacentral:hammerhead_ribozyme from 1 species
ACCUGCUGACGAGUCCAAAACAGGACGAAACACGUGUCCUGGAU